GAUGAACGCUGGCGGCGUGCUUAACACAUGCAAGUCGAGCGAGUGAGUUCUUCGGAACGAUCUAGCGGCGGACGGGUGAGUAACACGUGGGCAACCUGCCUCAUAGAGGGGAAUAGCCUCCCGAAAGGGAGAUUAAUACCGCAUAAAAUUAUCGAGUGGCAUCACAUGAUAAUCAAAGGAGUAAUCCGCUAUGAGAUGGGCCCGCGGCGCAUUAGCCAGUUGGUGAGGUAACGGCUCACCAAGGGGACGAUGCGUAGCCGACCUGAGAGGGUGAUCGGCCACAUUGGGACUGAGACACGGCCCAGACUCCUACGGGAGGCAGCAGUGGGGAAUAUUGGACAAUGGGGGAAACCCUGAUGCAGCAACGCCGCGUGAGUGAUGAAGGUCUUCGGAUUGUAAAGCUCUGUCUUUGGGGACGAUAAUGACGGUACCCAGGGAGGAAGCCACGGCUAACUACGUGCCAGCCGCCGCCGUAA
rnacentral:rRNA from 1 species